UACAGAGGUCUCAAGCGUUGUUCGGAUUCAUUGGGCGUAAAGGGCGCGUAGGCGGCUUGGCAAGUGGAUGGUGAAAUCCCUCGGCUUAACCGAGGAACUGCCGUCCAAACUGCUUAGCUUGAGACCGGGAGAGGUGAGUGGAAUUCCCAGUGUAGCGGUGAAAUGCGUAGAUAUUGGGAGGAACACCAGUGGCGAAGGCGGCUCACUGGACCGGAACUGACGCUGAUGCGCGAAAGCGUGGGGAGCAAACGGG
rnacentral:rRNA from 1 species